AGUAUGUUCAUUCAAGACAAUGACCUGCUCACUCUCAUUCCUGAGUAAUAGCCAUGAAGCGGAUAAGUGUUUUCCAGGUCACACGAAACCGAACGAGAUGCUGGAAGGAUCUUCUGCUUUGGACAAGGACAUACAAGAAUAAGGAGUCUGCAGGACAAUGUAUGAUGUCACAACUGAUGUCACAUUUGACCUGAAAAGGGGUCCCUUCAUAUAUCACGUGGAGCCUUAAAGGUCCGUGAAGAACCUUCAGCAUCUGGCUCCUAAUGCUGUCAAAUAAGGCAGUAAUGGACAAAAUGUUCAACACAAACACAGCUAGAGCUAAGCAGCAGCCGUGCAGUCUGGCAGAAUUUAUAUUCUUCAAUUGAAGACACAGAAUGAAGUUACA